rnacentral:rRNA from 1 species
UACGUAGGGUGCGAGCGUUGUCCGGAAUUAUUGGGCGUAAAGGGCGCGUAGGCGGCUUUGCAAGUGACGGGUGAAAGCCCUCGGCUUAACCGAGGAACUGCCUGUCAGACUGUAAGGCUUGAGACCGGGAGAGGUGAGUGGAAUUCCCAGUGUAGCGGUGAAAUGCGUAGAUAUUGGGAGGAACACCAGUGGCGAAGGCGGCUCACUGGACCGGAACUGACGCUGAGGCGCGAAAGCGUGGGGAGCAAACAGG